AUUGAACGCUGGCGGCAGGCUUAACACAUGCAAGUCGAGCGGGGUGAUGGUGCUUGCACUAUCACUUAGCGGCGGACGGGUGAGUAAUGCUUAGGAAUCUGCCUAUUAGUGGGGGACAACAUCUCGAAAGGGAUGCUAAUACCGCAUACGUCCUACGGGAGAAAGCAGGGGAUCACUUGUGACCUUGCGCUAAUAGAUGAGCCUAAGUCGGAUUAGCUAGUUGGUGGGGUGAAGGCCUACCAAGGCGACGAUCUGUAGCGGGUCUGAGAGGAUGAUCCGCCACACUGGGACUGAGACACGGCCCAGACUCCUACGGGAGGCAGCAGUGGGGAAUAUUGGACAAUGGGGGGAACCCUGAUCCAGCCAUGCCGCGUGUGAGAAGAAGGCCUUAUGGUUGUAAAGCACUUUAAGCGAGGAGGAGGCUCUUUUGGUUAAUACCCAAGAUGAGUGGACGUUACUCGCAGAAUAAGCACCGGCUAACUCUGUGCCAGCAGCCGCGGUAAAAC
rnacentral:rRNA from 1 species